GCCUGACCAGCCAUGCCGCGUGCAGGAAGACGGCCCUAUGGGUUGUAAACUGCUUUUAUCAGGGAAUAAACCCCCGCUCGAGAGCGGGGCUGAAGGUACCUGAGGAAUAAGCAUCGGCUAACUCCGUGCCAGCAGCCGCGGUAAUACGGAGGAUGCAAGCGUUAUCCGGAUUCAUUGGGUUUAAAGGGUGCGCAGGCGGAUUGGUAAGUCAGGGGUGAAAUCCCACAGCUCAACUGUGGAACUGCCUUUGAUACUGUCAGUCUAGAGUAUAGUUGAAGUUGGCGGAAUGUGUCAUGUAGCGGUGAAAUGCUUAGAUAUGACACAGAACACCGAUCGCGAAGGCAGCUAGCUAAGCUAUAACUGACGCUCAUGCACGAAAGCGUGGGGAUCAAACAGGAUUAGAUACCCUGGUAGUCCACGCUGUAAACGAUGAUUACUCGAUGUUGGCGAUACACAGUCAGCGUCUGAGCGAAAGCAAUAAGUAAUCCACCUGGGGAGUACGAUCGCAAGAUUGAAACUCAAAGGAAUUGACGGGGGCCCGCACAAGCGGAGGAGCAUGUGGUUUAAUUCGAUGAUACGCGAGGAACCUUACCUGGGCUCGAACGUAAGAUGACUGUAGGUGAAAGCUUACAUCUCUUCGGAGCAUUUUACGAGGUGCUGCAUGG
rnacentral:rRNA from 1 species